rnacentral:rRNA from 1 species
GACGAACGCUGGCGGCGUGCUUAACACAUGCAAGUCGAACGGAAAGGCCCUGCUUUUGUGGGGUGCUCGAGUGGCGAACGGGUGAGUAACACGUGAGUAACCUGCCCUUGACUUUGGGAUAACUUCAGGAAACUGGGGCUAAUACCGGAUAGGAGCUCCUGCUGCAUGGUGGGGGUUGGAAAGUUUCGGCGGUUUGGGAUGGACUCGCGGCUUAUCAGCUUGUUGGUGGGGUAGUGGCUUACCAAGGCUUUGACGGGUAGCCGGCCUGAGAGGGUGACCGGCCACAUUGGGACUGAGAUACGGCCCAGACUCCUACGGGAGGCAGCAGUGGGGAAUAUUGCACAAUGGGCGGAAGCCUGAUGCAGCAACGCCGCGUGCGGGAUGACGGCCUUCGGGUUGUAAACCGCUUUCGCCUGUGACGAAGCGGGAGUGACGGUAAUGGGUAAAGAAGCACCGGCUAACUACGUG